rnacentral:rRNA from 1 species
AUUGAACGCUGGCGGCAGGCCUAACACAUGCAAGUCGAGCGGAGCGGCGGACGGGUGAGUAAUGCCUAGGAAGAUGCACGGUAGUGGGGGAUAACGUCCGGAAACGGGUACUAAUACCGCAUAAUAGAAGAUGGGCCUAGGUCGGAUUAGCUAGUUGGUGGGGUAAAGGCCUACCAAGGCGACGAUCCGUACCUGGUCUGAGAGGGUGAUCAGUCACACUGGAACUGAGACACGGUCCAGACUCCUACGGGAGGCAGCAGUGGGGAAUAUUGGACAAUGGGCGAAAGCCUUAUCCAGCCAUGCCGCGUGUGUGAAGAAGGUCUUCGGAUUGUAAAGCACUUUAAGUUGGGAGGCGUUACCAACAGAAUAAGCACCGGCUAACUUCGUGCCAGCAGCCGCGGUAAUAC